UUAAUGGGCUAGGGGUGCUAAUUCAGUAGCUGAGAUCAAACCCUUUGAACCUGUGAGUUAAGACUCGCGUAGGGAAGCUUCAAUUGAAUUAU
rfam:Lactobacillus parafarraginis F0439 genomic scaffold Scfld1673, whole genome shotgun sequence.